CUCUAAUCUGAUAGUGGUAAGGGGGUGGUAGAUGUCUAGUCUCCUUUAUGGCUCUAAUCUGAUAGUGGUAGAUGUCUGGUCUCCUUUAUGGCUCUAAUCUGAUAUUGGGGUGGUAGAUGGCUAGUCUCCUUCGUGGCUCUAAUCUGAUAGUGGUAGUGGGGUGGUAGAUGUCUAGUCUACUUUAUGGCUCUAAUCUGAUAGUGGAAGAUGUCUAGUCUCCUUUAUGGCUCUAAUCUGAUAGUGGUAGUGGGGAGGAAGAUGUCUAGUCUUCUUUAUGGCUCUAAUCUGAUACUGUUAGUGGGGUGGUUGAUGUCUAGUCUCCUUUAUGGCUCUAAUCUGAUAGUGGUAGUGGGGUGGUAGAUGUCUUGUCUCCCUUAUGGCUCUAAUCUGAUAGUGGGGUGGUAGAUGUCUAGUCUUCUUUAUGGCUCUAAUCUGAUACUGUUAGUGGGGUGGUUGAUGUCUAGUCUCCUUUAUGGCUCGUAUCUGAUAGUGGUAGUGGGGUGGUAGAUGUCUAGUCUC
ensembl:lncRNA